rnacentral:lncRNA from 1 species
GGCAUUCAUGAAACCAUGUCCCUGUUCUUUCUCUGCAGGUGACUGGAUCAGAGUGAUGCCAGGCCCUCUGCAGCCAUUUUGUGUCCAUGAGAAGAGCUAGUCCAGAGACAAAGUGGACAUUCAGAGAAGGACACAAAGGAGCAAAUCCCAAUCCCUAGAGGCAUUCCAUCAGUUCACCCACCCCCUGGGCUUUGCACAAGAUGGAGAUCUGAGGUCUGGGCCUGAAACCACAUGCUUCAACCAUCUGACAGCAUUUACUCCUGCACCAGGUUCCAGAUUCUGGAGAAAAGGGCUCAGAAAAGUCCUCCAUAAGGUCCCUCCUCCGAUAAGACUUCUUCCUGCAGAAUCACAUCUCCAUUAAGAGCAUGCCAGGCAAAUGCUACCAACGAAUGGGAACCAGCACACUAGGUUAAACACAUUAUACAGGGGAUGACCCAUGAUGUAAAGCUGAGUGGAAGGAAGCCCAAUAGUAAGUACAGCACAAAAUAGUUCUUAAAAGGAGAAACUAAGCAUGCUGGUGCAAAUGAUAAAUGUAGGAAAGUGACAUCUCCUAGGGGUGUGUGUGUGUGUGUGUGUGUGGUUGGGAUUGCAAUGUUCCUUUUCUCUUUUGUGUUGCCUCUGCACUGAGUGGCUACUCAUUUGAUGCAUAUGCUCAUUGAGCAUCUAUUAUGUGCCAGUCCUCUAUUAGGGAUGCAAGGAUGAUCAAGAUUAAUG